rnacentral:lncRNA from 1 species
CCAUGAAGAGCUUUUAGAGUGACAAAAAGAAUAAAAAAGAAUAGUGUAGGUUUCAUGGGCUUGUAUUUUGAGAUAGAACUCUGUCUCUAAAGUCUCAAAUUUGGGCAGACCUUAUAUUGCUCAAGCAAGUGGCGGUCCUCCUCUUGAUACUUAUCUUGGAAGCUUGUUCAAGUGGCGCAUCUUCAUUUCUUAAGUUUUCCUUUCUCUAAUCUUUUCCAUUUUAAUUUCUCUUCCAUUUCUUAUAUGCCAUUUAGGAUAUUCAUUCUAGGCAUGCACUUCCCCAUCAUGUGGUAUCAUGAGCCUUAGGUUUUUUAUCUCUUAGGAAUUGCAUGCUAGAGUAGAAUAGCUUAGAUAUGGUCAUUUUCGCUGAGCCAUUUUCUGUCUCGCCCA